UUUUUUUUUUUUUUUUUUUCCAGACUAUUGGGGUUACUAUUGGGUAGUUUUUAGGAAAGUAAGAAAAAAA
rnacentral:ribozyme from 14 species